rnacentral:lncRNA from 1 species
AUGUCUCACACCAGGGCUUGCAAAGCACGCUCAGCUCUGCGGCAGGGGCUCGCUUUGCUUUUUUUCCUGAACAACCCAUCCCACCCUGCCAGGAGCCCUCUAAAAGUGCCGCCUGCUCCCGGUUGCGGCUGCUUCGGCAGGAAGCUGGCGAGGGCUAUUCCCGUCUCCGAGGGGAAAGGCCUCAAAGAGGAAUAUUCCAGAAGCAGCGCUCCCCAAGAACCGCCGUGUCACCGGAGGAAACGCUUACAAACGCCUCUUCCUCCAGCCUCCUCACCAGCGGCGCUCGAGCGCGCCCCAGCUUCCUGCCCUGCCUCCCCGAGCGCUCCCGCGUCCCCCCGCGGGCACCGGCCGGGCUCUGCCCGCAGCAGGGCUCGCUGGCCGCUUCCCUCCCGGCCGCCCCGAGCGAACGUCCCGCGGUGCAACCCACGCCUGCUGGGUUUAGGCUGGUGCUCCCGGGGCGGCGGAAGCGCGCGCGAGGGAGCCGCCGGCCCCGCCGCCGUGACGCCGCGCUCUCUGCGGGAGCGGAGGGACGGAGCCGCGCGCAGGGACGGCCGACGCCGGAAGCGUGAGCAAGCGAGACAUACGGAAAGUGCAUCGUCAGAGCAUCAAGCAGGAAUGGGCACUCGGGAGCAUCACCCACCUCUGCUCUUCCCAGCAAGGGAAUCACUGAGCUCUGCUCAGCAGCCUGGACAAGGAAGAUCAGUGCCUCAUCCUCCCCAGCAAAUGCUGACCUUUGCAUCCUCCGCGACUUUAUCCCAUUCUCUGAAAGAAGCAUGCAUCAUCAAUCUGCCCAAAUGGGCAGAAAGAUGGCAGCCUCGAUCUCCGCUAAGUACCAGACGCGCGGCGGGAAUGCCAAGCGCAAUCCCCACACGUCCACCCCCUCGAUUCCUGGCUGCUCGGGAAAGGCUGUUCCUCUUCAGCUGACAAAUAGAUGAGACGUUUCAUUAAUAAACCUCGGCUUCUCCUAACA